UUAUGGCUCAGGACGAACGCUGGCGGCGUGCUUAACACAUGCAAGUCGAACGGAAAGGCCCUGCUUUUGUGGGGUGCUCGAGUGGCGAACGGGUGAGUAACACGUGAGUAACCUGCCCUUGACUUUGGGAUAACUUCAGGAAACUGGGGCUAAUACCGGAUAGGAGCUCCUGCUGCAUGGUGGGGGUUGGAAAGUUUCGGCGGUUGGGGAUGGACUCGCGGCUUAUCAGCUUGUUGGUGGGGUAGUGGCUUACCAAGGCUUUGACGGGUAGCCGGCCUGAGAGGGUGACCGGCCACAUUGGGACUGAGAUACGGCCCAGACUCCUACGGGAGGCAGCAGUGGGGAAUAUUGCACAAUGGGCGGAAGCCUGAUGCAGCAACGCCGCGUGCGGGAUGACGGCCUUCGGGUUGUAAACCGCUUUCGCCUGUGACGAAGCGUGAGUGACGGUAAUGGGUAAAGAAGCACCGGCUAACUACGUGCCAGCAGCCGCGGUGAUACGUAGGGUGCGAGCGUUGUCCGGAUUUAUUGGGCGUAAAGGGCUCGUAGGUGGUUGAUCGCGUCGGAAGUGUAAUCUUGGGGCUUAACCCUGAGCGUGCUUUCGAUACGGGUUGACUUGAGGAAGGUAGGGGAGAAUGGAAUUCCUGGUGGAGCGGUGGAAUGCGCAGAUAUCAGGAGGAACACCAGUGGCGAAGGCGGUUCUCUGGGCCUUUCCUGACGCUGAGGAGCGAAAGCGUGGGGAGCGAACAGGCUUAGAUACCCUGGUAGUCCACGCUGUAAACGGUGGGUACUAGGUGUGGGGUCCAUUCCACGGGUUCCGUGCCGUAGCUAACGCUUUAAGUACCCCGCCUGGGGAGUACGGCCGCAAGGCUAAAACUCAAAGGAAUUGACGGGGCCCCGCACAAGCGGCGGAGCAUGCGGAUUAAUUCGAUGCAACGCGUAGAACCUUACCUGGGUUUGACAUGGAUCGGGAGUGCUCAGAGAUGGGUGUGCCUCUUUUGGGGUCGGUUCACAGGUGGUGCAUGGCUGUCGUCAGCUCGUGUCGUGAGAUGUUGGGUUAAGUCCCGCAACGAGCGCAACCCUUGUUCACUGUUGCCAGCACGUUAUGGUGGGGACUCAGUGGAGACCGCCGGGGUCAACUCGGAGGAAGGUGGGGAUGACGUCAAGUCAUCAUGCCCCUUAUGUCCAGGGCUUCACGCAUGCUACAAUGGCUGGUACAGAGAGUGGCGAGCCUGUGAGGGUGAGCGAAUCUCGGAAAGCCGGUCUCAGUUCGGAUUGGGGUCUGCAACUCGACCUCAUGAAGUCGGAGUCGCUAGUAAUCGCAGAUCAGCAACGCUGCGGUGAAUACGUUCCCGGGGCUUGUACACACCGCCCGUCAAGUCAUGAAAGUUGGUAACACCCGAAGCCGGUGGCCUAACCGUUGUGGGGGAGCCGUCGAAGGUGGGACUGGUGAUUAGGACUAAGUCGUAACAAGGU
rnacentral:rRNA from 1 species